CAGGGAGAUUGUCAGCACGCGUCACAACGUGCUCUAAGGUGUCACCAGGGAGAUUGUCAGCACGCGUCACAACGUGCUCUAAGGUGUCACCAGGGAGAUUGUCACAACGUGCUCUAAGGUGUCACCAGGGAGAUUGUCAGCACGCGUCACAACGUGCUCUAAGGUGUCACCAGGGAGAUUGUCAGCACGCGUCACAACGUGCUCUAAGGUGUCACCAGGGAGAUUGUCACAACGUGCUCUAAGGUGUCACCAGGGAGAUUGUCAGCACGCGUCACAACGUGCUCUAAGGUGUCACCAGGGAGAUUGUCACAACGUGCUCUAAGGUGUCACCAGGGAGAUUGUCAGCACGCGUCACAACGUGCUCUAAGGUGUCACCAGGGAGAUUGUCAGCACGCGUCACAACGUGCUCUAAGGUGUCACCAGGGAGAUUGUCACAACGUGCUCUAAGGUGUCACCAGGGAGAUUGUCAGCACGCGUCACAACGUGCUCUAAGGUGUCACCAGGGAGAUUGUCAGCACGCGUCACAACGUGCUCUAAGGUGUCACCAGGGAGAUUGUCAGCACGCGUCACAACGUGCUCUAAGGUGUCACCAGGGAGAUUGUCAGCACGCGUCACAACGUGCUCUAAGGUGUCACCAGGGAGAUUGUCAGCACGCGUCACAACGUGCUCUAAGGUGUCACCAGG